UACGUAGGGGGCAAGCGUUGUCCGGAUUUAUUGGGUUUAAAGGGUGCGUAGGCGGUCUUAUAAGUCAGUGGUGAAAUACGGCAGCUCAACUGUCGAGGCGCCAUUGAUACUGUAGGACUUGAGUACAGACGAGGUAGGCGGAAUUGACGGUGUAGCGGUGAAAUGCUUAGAUAUCGUCAAGAACACCGAUAGCGAAGGCAGCUUACUAGGCUGUAACUGACGCUGAGGCACGAAAGUGUGGGGAUCAAACAGG
rnacentral:rRNA from 1 species